rnacentral:rRNA from 1 species
ACGGGUGAGUAACACGUAGGUAACCUGCCUAUGAGACUGGGAUAACUAUCGGAAACGAUAGCUAAGACCGGAUAACUGGUUUUCUCGCAUGAGAGAAUCAUGAAACACGGAGCAAUCUGUGGCUUAUAGAUGGGCCUGCGGCGCAUUAGCUAGUUGGUAGGGUAAUGGCCUACCAAGGCGACGAUGCGUAGCCGACCUGAGAGGGUGACCGGCCACACUGGGACUGAGACACGGCCCAGACUCCUACGGGAGGCAGCAGUAGGGAAUCUUCCGCAAUGGACGCAAGUCUGACGGAGCAACGCCGCGUGAGUGAUGAAGGUUUUCGGAUCGUAAAGCUCUGUUGCCCUAGACGAACGGCAUGAGGAGUAACUGCCUUGUGUGUGACGGUAUAGGAGAAGAAAGCCCCGGCUAACUACGUGCCAGCAGCCGCGGUAAUACGUAGGGGGCAAGCGUUGUCCGGAAUUAUUGGGCGUAAAGCGCGCGCAGGCGGUUAAUUAAGUUGGGUGUUUAAGCCCGGGGCUCAACCCCGGUUCGCAUCCAAAACUGGUUGACUUGAGUGUAGGAGAGGAAAGUGGAAUUCCACGUGUAGC